AGGACUUGACGUAGGAGCGGAAGAUGUCGGUGAUCAUCUCCUCGUUCGUCGGCCCGUAGAGCAUCGGCCGGUCCUGCCGGUCCUUGAUGCGCAGCAUCUCCUU
rnacentral:sRNA from 1 species